rnacentral:rRNA from 1 species
AACGAACGCUGGCGGCAGGCCUAACACAUGCAAGUCGAGCGGACAUCUUCGGAUGUUAGCGGCGGACGGGUGAGUAAGGCGGGGUAACGUGCCCGUUGCUUCGGAAUAGCCUCGGGAAACUGGGAGUAAUACCGGAUGUACCCUUUGGGGGAAAGAUUGAUCGGGAAAGGGUCGGCCGGCGUUGGAUUAGUUAGUUGGUGGGGUAAGGGCCUACCAAGCCGACGAUCCAUAGCUGGUUUGAGAGGAUGAUCAGCCACACUGGGGCUGAGACACGGCCCAGACUCCUACGGGAGGGAGCAGAGGGGAAUCUUAGCCAGUGGGGGAAGCCAUGAUCUAGCCAUGCCGCGUAAGCGAUGAUGGCCUUAGGGUUGUCAUGUUGUUUAAUCGGGCAAGAUAAUGACGGUACCCGGAGAAGAAGCCCCGGCUAACUCCGUG